rnacentral:rRNA from 1 species
UACGUAGGGUGCAAGCGUUGUCCGGAAUUAUUGGGCGUAAAGAGCUCGUAGGCGGUUUGUCGCGUCUGCUGUGAAAUCCCGAGGCUCAACCUCGGGCCUGCAGUGGGUACGGGCAGACUAGAGUGCGGUAGGGAGAUUGGAAUUCCUGGUGUAGCGGUGGAAUGCGCAGAUAUCAGGAGGAACACCGAUGGCGAAGGCAGAUCUCUGGCCGUAACUGACGCUGAGGAGCGAAAGCGUGGGAGCGAACAGG